GGGUGAUUGGCUCAGCUGGGAGAGCACCUCUCUUACAAGGAGGGGGUCGGCGGUUCGAUCCCGUCAUCACCCACCA
rnacentral:tRNA from 1 species